rnacentral:rRNA from 1 species
AUGCAAGUCGAACGCAGUAGCAAUACUGAGUGGCAGACGGGUGAGUAUAAUGUGGGAAUCUGCCUUUUGGUUCGGAAUAACACGAGGAAACUUGUGCUAAUACCGGAUAAGCCUUCACAGGGAAAGUUUUAAUGCCAAAAGAUGAGCCCGCACUUGAUUAGCUAGUUGGUAAGGUAACAGCUUACCAAGGCAACGAUCAAUAGCUGUUCUUAGAGGAAGACCAGCCACAUUGGGACUGAGACACGGCCCAAACUCCUACGGGAGGCAGCAGUGGGGAAUCUUGCGCAAUGGGGGCAACCCUGAUGCAGCGAUGCCGCGUGAGUGAAGAAGGCCUUUGGGUUGUAAAACUCUUUCGUCGGGGAAGAAAAUGACUGUACCCGAAUAAGAAGGUCCGGCUAACUUCGUGCCAGCAGCCGCGGUAAUACGAAGGGACCUAGCGUAGUUCGGAAUUACUGGGCUUAAAGAGUUCGUAGGUGGUUAAAAAAGUUGAUGGUGAAAUCCCAAGGCUCAACCUUGGAACUGCCAUCAAAACUUUUUAGCUAGAGUAUGAUAGAGGAAAGUGGAAUUUCUAGUGUAGAGGUGAAAUUCGUAGAUAUUAGAAAGAACAUCAAAUGCGAAGGCAACUUUCUGGAUCAUUACUGACACUGAGGAACGAAAGCAUGGGUAGCGAAGAGGAUUAGAUACCCUCGUAGUCCAUGCCGUAAACGAUGUGUGCUAGACGUUGGAAACUUAGUUUUCAGUGUCGCAGAGAAAUCAUUAAG